GACGAACGCUGGCGGCGUGCCUAAUACAUGCAAGUUGAGCGCUGAAGGUUGGUACUUGUACCAACUGGAUGAGCAGCGAACGGGUGAGUGACGCGUGGGGAAUCUGCCUUUGAGCGGGGGACAACAUUUGGAAACGAAUGCUAAUACCGCAUAAAAACUUUAAACACAAGUUUUAGGUUUGAAAGAUGCAAUUGCAUCACUCAAAGAUGAUCCCGCGUUGUAUUAGCUAGUUGGUGAGGUAAAGGCUCACCAAGGCGAUGAUACAUAGCCGACCUGAGAGGGUGAUCGGCCACAUUGGGACUGAGACACGGCCCAAACUCCUACGGGAGGCAGCAGUAGGGAAUCUUCGGCAAUGGACGAAAGUCUGACCGAGCAACGCCGCGUGAGUGAAGAAGGUUUUCGGAUCGUAAAACUCUGUUGGUAGAGAAGAACGUUGGUGAGAGUGGAAAGCUCAUCAAGUGACGGUAACUACCCAGAAAGGGACGGCUAACUACGUG
rnacentral:rRNA from 1 species